UACGUAGGGGGCAAGCGUUGUCCGGAAUUAUUGGGCGUAAAGAGCGCGUAGGCGGUCCGAUAAGUCGGCUGUGAAAGUCAGGGGCUCAACCUUGAAGCCGGCCGAUACUGUCGGACUAGAGUCCGGAAGAGGCAAGUGGAAUUCCCGGUGUAGCGGUGAAAUGCGCAGAUAUCAGGAGGACACCAAUUGCGAAGGCAGCUCGCUGGACGUUACUGACGCUUGAGACGCGAAAGCGUGGGGAGCAAACAGG
rnacentral:rRNA from 1 species